rnacentral:rRNA from 1 species
CCUACGGGAGGCAGCAGUGGGGAAUAUUGGGCAAUGGAGGAAACUCUGACCCAGCGACGCCGCGUGCGGGAUGAAGGCCUUCGGGUUGUAAACCGCUUUCAGUAGGGAAGAAGCGAAAGUGACGGUACCUACAAAAGAAGCACCGGCUAACUAUGUGCCAGCAGCCGCGGUAAUACAUAGGGUGCAAGCGUUGUCCGGAAUUAUUGGGCGUAAAGAGCUCGUAGGUCGUUUGUUACGUCGGAUGUGAAAACCUGAGGCUCAACCUCAGGCCUGCAUUCGAUACGGGCAAACUAGAGUGUGGUAGGGGAGACUGGAAUUCCUGGUGUAGCGGUGGAAUGCGCAGAUAUCAGGAGGAACACCAAUGGCGAAGGCAGGUCUCUGGGCCAAUACUGACACUGAGGAGCGAAAGUCUGGGGAGCGAACAGGAUUAGAUACCCUGGUAGUCCAGACCGUAAACGGUGGGCACUAGUUGUGGGAACCUUCCACGGUUUCUGCGACGCAGCUAACGCAUUAAGUGCCCCGCCUGGGGAGUACGAUCGCAAGAUUAAAACUCAAAGGAAUUGACGG